AGGGAUAUAGCUCAAUGGUAAAGCCCUUGCCUAGCAUGCAUGAAAUCCUGGGUUCAAUCCCUAGUAUCACAG
rnacentral:tRNA from 1 species